rnacentral:rRNA from 1 species
GUAGGUGGCAAGCGUUGUCCGGAAUUAUUGGGGCGUAAAGCGCGCGCAGGCGGUUCUUUAAGUCUGAUGUGAAAGCCCACGGGCUCAACCGUGGAGGGCCAUUGGAAACUGGAGAACUUGAGUACAGAAGAGGAAAGCGGAAUUCCACGUGUAGCGGUGAAAUGCGUAGAGAUGUGGAGGAACACCAGUGGCGAAGGCGGCUUUCUGGUCUGUAACUGACGCUGAGGCGCGGAAGCGUGGGGAGCAAACAGGAUUAGAUACCCUGGUAGUCCACGCCGUAAACGAUGAGUGCUAAGUGUUAGGGGGUUUCCGCCCCUUAGUGCUGCAGCUAACGCAUUAAGCACUCCGCCUGGGGAGUACGGCCGCAAAGGCUG